UGGAAGCGUGGCGACACGUGGAGCUGAGAGAUACUAAUCGGUCGAGGACUUAUCCUAAA
rnacentral:rRNA from 1 species